rnacentral:ncRNA from 2 species
CUUUUAUCAAGAAGGUGGAGGGACUGGCCCUAUGAAGCCUAGCAACAGCUCAAAUUUGAGAAUUGUGCUAAAUCCUGCAGAAAUAAUUUUCUGAGAGAUAAGAG